rnacentral:rRNA from 1 species
CGCGAGCUGGGUUCAGAACGUCGUGAGACAGUUCGGUCCCUAUCCGUCGCGGGCGCAGGAAAUUUGAGAGGAGCUGUCCUUAGUACGAGAGGACCGGGAUGGACGCACCGCUGGUGUACCAGUUGUUCUGCCAAGGGCAUCGCUGGGUAGCUAUGUGCGGACGGGAUAAGUGCUGAAAGCAUCUAAGCAUGAAGCCCCCCUCAAGAUGAGAUUUCCCAUUCCGCAAGGAAGUAAGAUCCCUGAAAGAUGAUCAGGUUGAUAGGUCUGAGGUGGAAGUGUGGCGACACAUGGAGCUGACAGAUACUAAUCGAUCGAGGACUUAACCACAUUU